rnacentral:rRNA from 1 species
CCCUUAGAUGACCUGGGCUGCACGCGUGCUACAAUGGUACUAACAUCAAGUUCCUAAUACGAAAGUAUUAGGUAAUCAUCAAAUUGUACCUUACUUGGGAUAGACUAUUGUAAUUAUUUGUCUUGAACCAGGAAUUCCUAGUAAGCACAAGUCACAACCUUGUGCUGAUUACGUCCCUGCCCUUUGUACACACCGCCCGUCGCUUCUCCCGAUGAGUGUUCCGGUCAAUAUUUACACUUAACAAUGUUUUUGUGAACCUUAACACUUAGAGGAAGAAAAAGUCGUAACA